CGCACAUUGCGCCUGUUAGUAUUCUGAUAGGCAUGCCUGUUCGAGCGUCAUUUCAACCCUCAGGCCCAGCCUGGCGUUGGGGCCCCGCGUCUGCGGACCCCGAAAUAUAGUGGCGGGCUCGCUAUAAGCUUCAGCGCAGUAAUUUUCUUCGCUGGGGGUCUUUAGUGGGUUCUUGCCGUUAAAACCCCAUAUUUUGUACUGAUUGACCUCGGAUCAGGUAGGAAUACCCGCUGAACUUAA
rnacentral:misc_RNA from 1 species